CUUUUGAAUACAUCACAAAAUAGGAAAUAUUAUGUUUGCAGCUUUAAAGUAUAUUGGAGUAGACUAUUUUUAUGAGGAUAAAAAUUAUUAUCAUGAUGGAGAUUUUGCUGAUGAUAAAUAUAGGAGACCCUGGACAAGAGGUAUGUUAUAUCUGACUUGCAGAUUUAAUUUAGCUUUUUU
rnacentral:lncRNA from 11 species